UUGCACAUUGCAAAAAUUCCCAUGAUGGCCAACAGAGAGAGCUCGAGCACCACAGACCCGGAGAGGCGGGUUCCUCUGCCCAGGCAGUGAUGGCCAGCAGAAGGCGCACCAUCGGCUUUUCUGACCCAGGGCACCUGAGAGCAGGAAGGGCUUUGAUUGCUCCCAGAGUACUCAGGGCCUCUGCCGCUGCCUGAGUACAGAGAGCAGAGCUGCAUUUCCAGCAGAUUCAGGCUUGUUUCCGGGAAGAAACCCUGACAGAAAUUCAGAAGAACAGGAGCUGCAUUCCGUUAGGACAUGAAUACAUGAAAUGCUCGUCUUGGGAACUCCUAGAAGAAUGAGCUGGGACCCACUUUCUGAGUCCUGCUAGAACCAUUGACGGAG